GGGCCCAUAGUCCAGCGGUUAAGACGUUUCGUUUACAUCGAAAAGAUCCCCGGUUCGAAUCCGGGUGGGCCCA
rnacentral:tRNA from 1 species